AUGUACUUCGGGCUGUACUACUUCCUCGACAAGUUCGCCGGCGACACGUGCACGGCCCUCGAGGAGUACCAGCUGAACCCCAAGAACAGUAUGCUGGGCGCCAUCAUACCCUGCAGCGAGAAGAUGUCCGGCAGCGUCAUCCUGCACGAUGUUGGUGCAGGCAUACACGACAUCAUAGACCAGGUACUCCAAAAGUAA
rnacentral:rRNA from 1 species